AUUGAACGCUGGCGGCAGGCCUAACACAUGCAAGUCGAACGGUAACAGGAAGCAGCUUGCUGCUUUGCUGACGAGUGGCGGACGGGUGAGUAAUGUCUGGGAAACUGCCUGAUGGAGGGGGAUAACUACUGGAAACGGUAGCUAAUACCGCAUAACGUCGCAAGACCAAAGAGGGGGACCUUCGGGCCUCUUGCCAUCGGAUGUGCCCAGAUGGGAUUAGCUAGUAGGUGGGGUAACGGCUCACCUAGGCGACGAUCCCUAGCUGGUCUGAGGGGAUGACCAGCCACACUGGAACUGAGACACGGUCCAGACUCCUACGGGAGGCAGCAGUGGGGAAUAUUGCACAAUGGGCGCAAGCCUGAUGCAGCCAUGCCGCGUGUAUGAAGAAGGCCUUUCGGGUUGUAAAGUACUUUCAGCGGGGAGGAAGGCGAUAAGGUUAAUAACCUUGUCGAUUGACGUUACCCGCAGAAGAAGCACCGCUAACUCCC
rnacentral:rRNA from 1 species